GACGAACGCUGGCGGCGUGCUUAACACAUGCAAGUCGAGCGGGAACCUCGGCAGGGGUAACCCUUCCGAGGGGAGAGCGGCGAACGGGUGAGUAACACGUGGGCAACCUGCCCCGGACACCGGGAUAACCCAGGGAAACCUGAGCUAAUACCGGAUACUCCGGCACGAUCGCAUGGUCGUGCCGGGAAAGCUCCGACGGUCCGGGAUGGGCCCGCGGCCUAUCAGCUUGUUGGUGAGGUAACGGCCCACCAAGGCGACGACGGGUAGCUGGUCUGAGAGGACGGCCAGCCACACUGGGACUGAGACACGGCCCAGACUCCUACGGGAGGCAGCAGUGGGGAAUCUUGCGCUAAUGCGCGAAAGCGUGACGCAGCGACGCCGCGUGGGGAUGAAGGCCCUCGGGUUGUAAACCCCUUUCGCCAGGGAAGAAGGGAAACUGACGGUACCUGGAGAGAAGUCCCGGCUAACUACGUGCCAGCAGCCGCUGUAAG
rnacentral:rRNA from 1 species